ACUGUGAAGCAUCCUGUUAAGUCAGGCACGAGCCGAGACCCACGCCAACAGUUGCCAGCUCGUCCUCCGGGAUUGGUGGGGACACUGUUAGGGACCGCCUCUGCUAAAGAGGAGGAAGGAAUGGGCAACGGUAGGUCAGCAUGCCCCGAAUUAUCUGGGCUACACGCGGGCUACAAUGGGUGGGACAAUGGGUAUCGACACCGAAAGGUGAAGGCAAUCUCCUAAACCCAUCCGUAGUUCGGAUUGUGGGCUGCAACUCGCCCACAUGAAGCUGGAAUCUGUAGUAAUCGUGUCUCAAAAUGGCACGGUGAAUAUGUCCCUGCUCCUU
rnacentral:rRNA from 1 species